GUGCCAUGUUCUCUCAAAUUCUCAAAACUCUCUAAAAAGAGCCGCUUCUCUCAGUUAAAACGAUUUUAGAACUAUUUUUUUGAAAUAAAUGAGAGAAAACCCAUAAGAAAUUGAAGAGAACUCCCAUUGGAGUUGCUGUAUAAGAACCCUCAAUCAUCAAAACUUUUUUGUUAUUGAAAUAAUACAGAACGUGGUUUAAAUUCUUAAAUUUUCAUGACUAUAUUUGUUAGUCUUAUGAAUGGGAAGCAAUAUUUUUCGGGUCCAUGAACGAUGGUCCUGCAUAGAAGACUGACA